rnacentral:rRNA from 1 species
UGCAAGUCGAACGCUUUGUGGUUCAACUGAUUUGAAGAGCUUGCUCAGAUAUGACGAUGGACAUUGCAAAGAGUGGCGAACGGGUGAGUAACACGUGGGAAACCUACCUCUUAGCAGGGGAUAACAUUUGGAAACAGAUGCUAAUACCGUAUAACAAUGACAACCGCAUGGUUGUUAUUUAAAAGAUGGUUCUGCUAUCACUAAGAGAUGGUCCCGCGGUGCAUUAGCUAGUUGGUAAGGUAAUGGCUUACCAAGGCGAUGAUGCAUAGCCGAGUUGAGAGACUGAUCGGCCACAAUGGGACUGAGACACGGCCCAUACUCCUACGGGAGGCAGCAGUAGGGAAUCUUCCACAAUGGGCGAAAGCCUGAUGGAGCAACGCCGCGUGUGUGAUGAAGGGUUUCGGCUCGUAAAACACUGUUGUAAGAGAAGAAUGACAUUGAGAGUAACUGUUCAAUGUGUGACGGUAUCUUACCAGAAAGGAACGGCUAAAUACGUGCCAGCAGCCGCGGUAAUACGUAUGUUCCAAGCGUUAUCCGGAUUUAUUGGGCGUAAAGCGAGCGCAGACGGUUAUUUAAGUCUGAAGUGAAAGCCCUCAGCUCAACUGAGGAAUUGCUUUGGAAACUGGAUGACUUGAGUGCAGUAGAGGAAAGUGGAACUCCAUGUGUAGCGGUGAAAUGCGUAGAUAUAUGGAAGAACACCAGUGGCGAAGGCGGCUUUCUGGACUGUAACUGACGUUGAGGCUCGAAAGUGUGGGUAGCAAACAGGAUUAGAUACCCUGGUAGUCCACACCGUAAACGAUGAGUGCUAGGUGUUUGAGGGUUUCCGCCCUUAAGUGCCGCAGCUAACGCAUUAAGCACUCCGCCUGGGGAGUACGACCGCAAGGUUGAAACUCAAAGGAAUUGACGGGGACCCGCACAAGCGGUGGAGCAUGUGGUUUAAUUCGAAGCAACGCGAAGAACCUUACCAGGUCUUGACAUCCCUUGACAACUCCAGAGAUGGAGCGUUCCCUUCGGGGACAAGGUGACAGGUGGUGCAUGGUUGUCGUCAGCUCGUGUCGUGAGAUGUUGGGUUAAGUCCCGCAACGAGCGCAACCCUUAUUACUAGUUGCCAGCAUUCAGUUGGGCACUCUAGUGAGACUGCCGGUGACAAACCGGAGGAAGGUGGGGAUGACGUCAAAUCAUCAUGCCCCUUAUGACCUGGGCUACACACGUGCUACAAUGGCGUAUACAACGAGUUGCCAACCCGCGAGGGUGAGCUAAUCUCUUAAAGUACGUCUCAGUUCGGAUUGUAGGCUGCAACUCGCCUACAUGAAGUCGGAAUCGCUAGUAAUCGCGGAUCAGCACGCCGCGGUGAAUACGUUCCCGGGUCUUGUACACACCGCCCGUCACACCAUGAGAGUUUGUAACACCCAAAGCCGGUGGGGUAACCUUCGGGAGCCAGCCGUCUAAG